AAUGAAGUUUUUGUGACUGAGUGGCGGACGGGUGAGUAACGCGUGGGUAACCUGCCUCACACUGGGGGAUAACAGUUAGAAAUAGCUGCUAAUACCGCAUAAGCGCACAGAGCUGCAUGGCUCGGUGUGAAAAACUCCGGUGGUGUGAGAUGGACCCGCGUCUGAUUAGCCAGUUGGCGGAGUAACGGCCCACCAAAGCGACGAUCAGUAGCCGGCCUGAGAGGGUGAACGGCCACACUGGAACUGAGACACGGUCCAGACUCC
rnacentral:rRNA from 1 species